rnacentral:lncRNA from 1 species
CUUCUCAUUCCAGUGCCACCGAGCCGGAGCCGUAGCCGCCGCUGCCGCAGCAACCUCAGCCGCGGGCACUAUGGCAUCUGGAGUUACAGUGAAUGAUGAAGUCAUCAAAGUUUUUAAUGAUAUGAAAGGCUCCUGAAAGUGCACCGUUAAAAAGCAAGAUGAUUUAUGCUAGCUCUAAAGAUGCCAUUAAAAAGAAAUUUACAGGUAUUAAACAUGAGUGGCAAGUAAAUGGCUUGGACGAUAUUAAGGACCGCUCGACACUGGGAGAGAAACUGGGAGGCAGUGUUGUAGUUUCCCUGGAAGGAAAGCCACUGUAAAAUAAUAGCCAAGUGCCAUUUGAUCUUAAGGGGCUUACAUUUAUUUCUCCAGCUCAGUCCACUGGAAUUGUAUUAGGUUUUGUUUUUUGUUUAUUCCCUUUCCACUGGUCCCGUUCAACACAAUGAAUGAGUGAAUAUAAGAAGCCUGUCAGUGAUCGCCAUUAGACUGUUUCAUAUGGUUACUUUCUGUAGAUCCCAAGGAAUGCCUUCCCGUCCUAUUUUAGCCAAAACAACUGGUUCCAUGCCUUCCUUGCGUGAGCACUACAACGGAUUGUCAGCGUGAAUAGCUUAGAGUACUACAGAGGGUGAGCUAAUUGAAUGCCUUGAAAGUAUUCUCCACUGGUCAUAUGGGAAACUUGUUUCAGUAUUAUUUAUAGUCGAGCUGCACUUGAUCACAGUUCUCUGCGGCACUGGAGCAGUCACACACCUCACCCGCCUUGGCUCGCCUAUUGUGACAUGGCAGCACAGGUUUAACACUAUUGGUUAAAAGCACUUUUAUUUUGUAAUGCGUUUAGUCCCUUAUAAAGAAUGCCAAUUAAGUUUCAUUACCUGUCCUCA